GGAGGCAGCAGUGAGGAAUAUUGGACAAUGGAGGUAACUCUGAUCCAGCCAUGCCGCGUGCAGGAAGACUGCCCUAUGGGUUGUAAACUGCUUUUAUAGAGGAAGAAACCUCCCUACGUGUAGGGAGCUGACGGUACUCUACGAAUAAGGAUCGGCUAACUCCGUGCCAGCAGCCGCGGUAAUACGGAGGAUCCAAGCGUUAUCCGGAAUCAUUGGGUUUAAAGGGUCCGUAGGCGGGCAGUUAAGUCAGUGGUGAAAGUCUUCCGCUCAACGGGAGAAUUGCCAUUGAUACUGAUUGUCUUGAGUCAUUAUGAAGUGGUUAGAAUGAGUAGUGUAGCGGUGAAAUGCAUAGAUAUUACUCAGAAUACCGAUUGCGAAGGCAGAUCACUAAUAAUGUACUGACGCUGAUGGACGAAAGCGUAGGUAGCGAACAGGAUUAGAUACCCUGGUAGUCUACGCCGUAAACGAUGGUUACUAGCUGUUUGGACGAUUGAGUCUGAGUGGCUAAGCGAAAGUGAUAAGUAACCCACCUGGGGAGUACGUUCGCAAGAAUGAAACUCAAAGGAAUUGACGGGGGCCCGCACAAGCGGUGGAGCAUGUGGUUUAAUUCGAUGAUACGCGAGGAACCUUACCAGGGCUUAAAUGCAGUCUGACGUAUCUGAAA
rnacentral:rRNA from 1 species